rnacentral:rRNA from 1 species
ACAGAGGGUGCGAGCGUUAAUCGGAAUUACUGGGCGUAAAGCGCGCGUAGGCGGCUUUGCAAGUCGGGUGUGAAAUCCCCAGGCUUAACCUGGGAACUGCAUUCGAGACUGCAUUGCUAGAGUAUGGGAGAGGGAAGUGGAAUUUCCGGUGUAGCGGUGAAAUGCGUAGAUAUCGGAAGGAACAUCAGUGGCGAAAGCGACUUCCUGGACCAAUACUGACGCUCAUGUGCGAAAGCGUGGGGAGCAAACAGGA